AUUUAAUCUUUUUUAUCAUGUCCAUGCCAACUUCCAUCAUGAGUGAAGGCCCAGCUCUUUUUGUUGUGUUUGUUUUGUGGCUCUAUGAAGACAUAAAUCAGCAGACCUUGGUUCACAGAAUCCUGGAAUAUGCUGAGUGGGAAGGGACCUGCCAGGAUCAACUUCUGGCCCAAGGAUCACUCCAGGAGAUGUCAGUGUGCUCCAAUGGCUCUUUGCUCCCCAGCUCUUGUGCUUUCCAGCUCACCAGAACAAAUCCCACCAAUGCCCUCCAGUGCAAACCCCAGAGCUCAGAAUGCUGAGGACAAGCCAGAAGGUUUGGCACGGCCCAGGGAUGGGAGCCAGGGUGAGGACAGGGGGGCAAAGACUGGAUAAAGCUCAUGGGAUGGCUGAUUUGCUGCCUUGAACUUGGUGGCCUUUUCCUCCUGCAAACGUGUGUGGAAGGGCAGGAGGUGUGUGAGCACCCACCUGCUCAUGGGCAGGGGGUUGGAGGGGACCCUUCCAGCAGCUCGGAGAGAGAGCGGCUCCGGCUGCCGACACCUCCUGGCAGGAGGCCUUUCAAUUGCUCCAUGUCUGUGUGCUGGAAAGCAAAACCUGCUGAGAUGAAACCCUCUGGCCUCCUCCCCCCGUCUCCAAGGCAAACACAGACAGUUCUGUUCCUACCCCGAGAAAUCCAUAUUUCAGCCUUGGACUCCCUUUGUGUGGGCUUUGUUUCAUCCAGCGCCACGGAGCUUGGAUGGCUUUUGCAGCUCAUAUUGUGCUUUGGAUGCAGCCUCCUCUCUCCAGCCCUCUUGCUGCCUCCAUGAAGAAUAACAGCGGCCGGUGUUGUGUUUUCCCUGGAUCACGGGCUGCUGGAAACCGAAGGGAAACGUUGCUGGAAGAGGGAGAGGGCCGGUGGGACGCCGCUGGAUCCUUCUCCCCAGCAGAGCUGCAGCCUGGGCUGUUUGGCUUUCUCAGGCCUUCAUGGUGAGCAACAAAUUGUCCUAUAAAAAUUCUUGCCUUGAAUUUUAUUUUUCUAAGGAGACAGGCCCAACUUGGGAACUUGGGACUUAAAUCUCCCCCUUAAAUGGACGGCAAAGUCCAAGAUAGAAGCUGUGGCCCUGAAAUCCAGCGGGGUCUUCAGGUUCUGCCUCUCUCCUUCCCUAAAUCUGCAUCUGAAGCCUCUUUUUCUGGCUGCGGAGGAAGAAAACCUUGCGAGGACAUUUCAGCUUCUCUUGCAGGCUGGCUACCAGUGUUCCAAGGAGGAGAGGGAGGAAUAACCAACAUUUCCGGCCAUUGGCUGCUCGCACGGCCCCCGGGAGCUCCUCGGGAAGGUUUUUAAAGGAAUAUUUAUGGAUGAUCCCGGUGAAUCAGGCCCUAAAAGGAAAACUGAGCACAGGAGGAGGGAUGGUUUGGUGGAAGAGCAUCCUAGGGUUUCCACUUUCAGAGCCUUUUCCUAAGACAUGAGUCACUUAAAAGCCUCCUGUAGACUCACUGAUAAGAGAAACUCCCUCGAGGUGAGCCCAGCUCUGUCCUUCAGCGUGUUUAUGUAAAGUACCUUUGGAACAGAUUUAUCCCACGGAAUGUGUGGAGGAGAUAAGGCCACACGUGCCCUCUGAGCCUGUUUCUUUCAGUGCAACGUCUUGAGGUUUAUCUGAGUGUGCCUGAG